rnacentral:misc_RNA from 1 species
GUGAAUCAUCAAAUUUUUGAACGCAAAUUGCACUCUCUUCGGAGAGUAUGCCUGUUUGAGUGUCAGCCUAAAAAAAAAUCGACGUAGUCGCUGUUUCGCGGUGACAUUCGUCGGAAAUUGGGUCAUCUUAAACCUUUGGGUCUUUUAAGCGGCUUAAAAUUUUCUUUACGAAUCCACGAACGUUUCUAAGAUUUUACUUCUUACACACGUUUAAGUUAUCGUUCUUUAUUAGACUUGGCCGUUGCAUCGUAUUGCGUUCAUAAAUAUUUCUUUAA